ACUGAACCUUAUAUACAUUGUGCUUUUCUAUACAUGCAUAUCUAUGAUAAAGUUUAAUUUAUAGGGGUGGUGGCGCCUGAGGUCACCAUGGCUACCAAGCACAAAACCGCAGGGCCAGUGGUACCUUUGUGUGUGGAUCGAUACUUCAUUCACUGGUACAAAGCAGAUGUCAAAGGAAAAUCUUGUGAGGACCACUGUAUACCACAGCACUCUAACCGAAUAUGUGUUACCACAUUGACAGAAUCUCAUCCAGUUCUUCAAAGUGGAAAAACAAUGAAAAGCAUUCCCUGUCAGAUCAGUACCAACUGUAGCAGACUUCAGAACAAGGUCUCUGGGAAAUGUAAGCGGGGGGCACAGUUUCUAACAGAACUUGCACCGCUCUGUAAGAUUUACUGUUCAGAUGGUGAAGCAUAUACUGUAUCUAGUUGUGUUAGAGGAUGUUCGAUGGAAGUGAUUGAAAACAUUCUCCAUAAGCCAUCUAUUCUUCAAGAAAAGCCAUCCACUGAAGGCUACAUUGCAGUUGAGUUACCCAAAUUUGAAGAAAGUAAAAACAUAACAGAAGGGUUACUGACACAAAAACAGUAUGAAGAAGUCAUGGUGAAAAUGCAUUAAUGCCAUGCAUCAACGUCAUGAGGACUGACAUGGAGCAAAAAGCAAAGCCGGAUUCUUGUUACCUGACCUAAACCAUCAGUCUACAGAAGGAGAACCAGUAUAUGUGACGCAUACUUCACAGCCAUACGCCGGGGAGGCCUAGUGCUUCACUGAACUUCGUUUUCCCUCUCUGGCUUUCGUAAUGAGCCUUGGUUCCCAUUUGUCUUCAGCCUGCCAGAUCUGGCCUGCCCUUGUACUCACCCUGUUCUCUUGCAUCUCUCUAACAACUGGCGUGCAAGGAAUGUUUUUCUGAUUAAAAACAAGCAAACAAAGCUCUUUGAAGAAAAUUUAGAAAAUAUAGGAAAGUUUUAAGUAGCCAAGUAAAAAUAAUUUACUCAUUAUCCCAUAAUCCAGCAGUAAAUACAUUUGACCCUUGAACAACAUGGGUUUGAACUGUGAGAGGGAACCAUAAACGAAUCAAAAAUAUAUCAUUAACCAAACACAAAACCCACUUAUAGAGCAGGCUGACUUUUCAUAUACUCAGUUUCCAGAGGACCGACUGCAGGACUUGAGUUGUGUGUGGAUUUGGGUAUAUGUGGAAGGUCCUGGAAGGAAUCCCCCAUGUAA